rnacentral:rRNA from 1 species
UACGGAGGGAGCUAGCGUUGUUCGGAAUUACUGGGCGUAAAGCGCACGUAGGCGGCUUUGUAAGUUAGAGGUGAAAGCCCGGGGCUCAACUCCGGAACUGCCUUUAAGACUGCAUCGCUUGAAUCCAGGAGAGGUGAGUGGAAUUCCGAGUGUAGAGGUGAAAUUCGUAGAUAUUCGGAAGAACACCAGUGGCGAAGGGCGGCUCACUGGAC